GCGGGGUAGAGGCCCGCCGCGGUAACGACGGGUAACGGGGAAUCAGGGUUCGAUUCCGGAGAGGGAGCCCGAGAAACGGCUACCACUUCCAAGGAAGGCAGCAGGCGCGCAACUUACCCUAAUCUCGAUUCGAGGAGGUAGUGACAAGAAAUACCGAUGCGGGACCCUACGGGUGCCGCGUUCGGAAUGAGUACGAUUCGAACCACCUAACGAGGAACGAUCGGAGGGCAAGUCUGGUGCCAGCAGCCGCGGUAAUUCCAGCUCCAAUAGCGUACGUUAAAGUUGCUGCAGUUAAAAAGCUCGUAGUUGAACGUUCGGGUUCCGCGGGACGGGGCCGCCCCGCGAGGGACGGCGCCGCCCCGGGGCUCGUGAUAUCUUAUCUCGCCGCCCGUCGCGAGGCGGACGGAGGGAUGGAUGAGGUUACCUGGAAAAAAUCGGGGCG
rnacentral:rRNA from 1 species